CACGUAGGGUGCGAGCGUUGUCCGGAAUUAUUGGGCGUAAAGAGCUCGUAGGCGGUGUGUCGCGUCGGCCGUGAAAACCUGCAGCUUAACUGUGGGCUUGCGGUCGAUACGGGCAUCACUGGAGUUCGGCAGGGGAGACUGGAAUUCCUGGUGUAGCGGUGAAAUGCGCAGAUAUCAGGAGGAACACCGGUGGCGAAGGCGGCUCUCUGGAACGCA
rnacentral:rRNA from 1 species